rnacentral:rRNA from 1 species
UAGGUGAACCUGCGGAAGGAUCAUUAAAGAAAUUUAAUAAUUUUGAAAAUGGAUUUUUUUGUUUUGGCAAGAGCAUGAGAGCUUUUACUGGGCAAGAAGACAAGAGAUGGAGAGUCCAGCCGGGCCUGCGCUUAAGUGCGCGGUCUUGCUAGGCUUGUAAGUUUCUUUCUUGCUAUUCCAAACGGUGAGAGAUUUCUGUGCUUUUGUUAUAGGACAAUUAAAACCGUUUCAAUACAACACACUGUGGAGUUUUCAUAUCUUUGCAACUUUUUCUUUGGGCAUUCGAGCAAUCGGGGCCCAGAGGUAACAAACACAAACAAUUUUAUCUAUUCAUUAAAUUUUUGUCAAAAACAAGAAUUUUCGUAACUGGAAAUUUUAAAAUAUUAAAAACUUUCAACAACGGAUCUCUUGGUCCUCGCAUCGAUGAAGAACGCAGCGAAAUGCGAUACGUAAUGUGAAUUGCAGAAUUCCGUGAAUCAUCGAAUCUUUGAACGCACAUUGCGCCCCUUGGUAUUCCAGGGGGCAUGCCUGUUUGAGCGUCAUUUCCUUCUCAAACAUUCUGUUUGGUAGUGAGUGAUACUCUUUGGAGUUAACUUGAAAUUGCUGGCCUUUUCAUUGGAUGUUUUUUUUCCAAAGAGAGGUUUCUCUGCGUGCUUGAGGUAUAAUGCAAGUACGGUCGUUUUAGGUUUUACCAACUGCGGCUAAUCUUUUUUUAUACUGAGCGUAUUGGAACGUUAUCGAUAAGAAGAGAGCGUCUAGGCGAACAAUGUUCUUAAAGUUUGACCUCAAUCACGUAGGAGUACCCGCUGAACUUAAGCAUAUCAAUAGCGGAGGAAAGAAACCAACCGGGAUUGCCUUAGUACGGCGAGUGACAGGGAA